CCGGCCGACCUCUCGCGUGGAUGCGCGGUGGCGGCCGGUGACCGAAUACCUUGAGUGGGAGGUAGCAGGUAGCAGGGAGCCUCCUUGUUCCAGGCUGCUUUUUAAUUAUCAUUCUAUGGCUUGCCCUCAAAGCCUUUGUGGUGGCUGUACCAAGUUCAAUCAUUCCUCAGCACGUACUCUUACAUCUGGGAGUGUGCAAGUCAGCAGCGUUCACUGACAGAUAUCUUCUGAUACAGGCAUUCACAGUAGAACAAAGACUACAACAGAAUCAAUGAAAAACUACAUACAGGCCAAGACAGACAAAGAAUGGAUUCGCAAAAGAAGACACACUGUGCAAGUACAAUAAAUAAAUAAUGCUGAGACAUUGAGUCCUUGGAAGUGGGUCCAUAGCUUGUGGAACAGUUCAGAGCUGAGCCGAGUUGCUGGCUCAGUGCUCAACCCAGCACAGAUGGUGAGUCUGCAAAGGAGCCAGAUCUGAACCCAGGACCACUCGCCUCGAAGUCUGGUGCGGAUGCCACUACACCACCAGCCAACUCGACAUUGAUAAUAAA